UACGUAGGGAGCUAGCGUUGUCCGGAAUCAUUGGGCGUAAAGCGCGCGUAGGCGGCCCGGUAAGUCCGCUGUGAAAGUCAAAGGCUCAACCUUUGAAUGUCAGCGGAUACUGCCGGGCUAGAGUCCGGAAGAGGCGAGUGGAACUCCUGGUGUAGCGGUGGAAUGCGCAGAUAUCAGGAAGAACACCAACGGCGAAGGCAGCUCGCUGGGACGGAACUGACGCUAAGGUGCGAAAGCGUGGGGAGCGAACAGG
rnacentral:rRNA from 1 species